rnacentral:rRNA from 1 species
AUUGAACGCUGGCGGCAGGCCUAACACAUGCAAGUCGAACGAGUGGCGGACGGGUGAGUAAUGUCUGGGAAACUGCCCGAUGGAGGGGGAUAACUACUGGAAACGGUAGCUAAUACCGCAUACCAUCGGAUGUGCGACGAUGUGAUUAGCUAGUAGGUGGGGUAAUGGCUCACCUAGCCGACGAUCCCUAGCGGGGCUGAGAGGAUGACCAGCACAACUGGAACUGAGCAACGGCCCAGAUGCCUAGGGGAGGAAGCAGUGGGGAAUAUGGCACAAUGGGCGAAAGCCUGAUGAAGCCAUGCCGGGUGUAUGAAGAAGGCCUUGGGGUUGUAAAGUACUUUCAGCGAGGAGGCGUUACUCGAAGAAGAAGCACCGGCUAACUCGGUGCCAGCGGCCGCGGUAAUU